rnacentral:rRNA from 1 species
GCUACGGGAGGCAGCAGUGAGGAAUAUUGGUCAAUGGACGAGAGUCUGCACCAGCCAAGUAGCGUGAAGGAUGACUGCCCUAUAGGUUGUAAACUUCUUUUAUAAAGGGACAAAAUCAGGCUCGAGAGCCUGACCGAGGGUACUUGAAGACAAAGCAUCGGCUAACUCCGUGCCAGCAGCCGCGGUAAUACGGAGGAUGCGAGCGUUAUCCGGAUUUAUUGGGUUUAAAGGGUGCAUAGGCGGACUGUUAAGUCAGCGGUAAAAGCCCGGGGCGCAACCCCGGCGAGCCGUUGAAACGGGCUGUCUAGAGAUGUCGAGAGGUAUGAGGAAUGCGCAGUGUAGCGGUGAAAUGCUUAGAUAUUGCGCAGAACUCCGAUUGCGAAGGCAGCAUACCGGCGGCGAUCUGACGCUGAGGCACGAAAGCGUGGGUAUCGAACAGGAUUAGAUACCCGUGUAGUC